rnacentral:lncRNA from 1 species
AGAUACAGCUAUUCAAAGAUGACAUAAUUAUUUAAAUUGUUCAAAAGCAGACUUACAAAAUUUCAAAAUAGCAUAUGCCAACAUAAUUCAAAUGUCCAAACUGAACUAACUAAAAUGUCAAUAACUGAAGGAAUCGUCGGAAAAUCUAACGCACUCCCCAAUCCCGUGUGAUCAAGCCUCUGGAUCUGAAAAAUGAAGAAAACAGAAUAAUGAGCUACACUAGCCCAGUAAGCAACAAAAUACCCCAGAGUGAGGUCAGAGCAUAUCAGAUCAAAAUACAGGAUAAUGUCUGGAAUAAAUCAUAAAUAACAUCAUUUGUUGUUUUCAAAACUCAUUAUCAUUUUUCCAAAAACUCUUAUACUAGAAUCUCAACAUAAUAGGCUACGGCCACGUAACCUAGUGGCAUGGGUUGCACAAGGUGCCAAACACCACUAUUAUUAUGCACCGGUGGUACGGUGUCCAAAUACCACUAUUCUAAUCACCGGUGGUACGGUGUCCAAAUACCACUAUUCUAAUCACCGGUGGUACGGUGUCGAAACCGGUUCUUCACAGAUUACAAGUCGACAGGUCCAACAUAUAAUCCCCAUUGGCGGGGCCAGAACAGAACAGAACAGAUCAUAGCCAUGCUGAGAAUGCAUAUAUAUAUAUAUAAAUAUAUUUCAUGGAUUUCAGAGCAUAUAACAUGAUUUUCAAAUAAAAUUUAACAUGUCUGACCCAUUUUACUGAAUGCAAAACAUAUAUCAAAACAUAAUCAGUUUAUUAAAUAAUUCAGAAAUCACACUUGAAGUAUUAAGUUACUUACCUCUUCUCGCUUAAUACCUACUUCAGGUAGGCGGAUCAGGUUCACCUGUUAACAUUUAAUUAAUUUCUUUAUAAAUUUCAGAGCUAAGCAAAACCAAAAGUAAUACUAUU